AUUGAGAGCGAUAGCGAAGAGGUCACACCCGUUCCCAUACCGAACACGGAAGUUAAGCUCUUCAGCGCCGAUGGUAGUCGGGGGUUUCCCCCUGUGAGAGUAGGACGCCGCCAAGC
rnacentral:rRNA from 1 species